rnacentral:rRNA from 1 species
GAACGAUGCUUUCGGGCAUAGUGGCGCACGGGUGCGUAACGCGUGGGAAUCUGCCCCUUGGUUCGGAAUAACAGUUAGAAAUGACUGCUAAUACCGGAUGACGACGUAAGUCCAAAGAUUUAUCGCCGAGGGAUGAGCCCGCGUAGGAUUAGCUAGUUGGUGUGGUAAAGGCGCACCAAGGCGACGAUCCUUAGCUGGUCUGAGAGGAUGAUCAGCCACACUGGGACUGAGACACGGCCCAUACUCCUACGGGGGGCAGCAGUGGGGAAUAUUGGACAAUGGGCGCAAGCCUGAUCCAGCAAUGCCGCGUGAGUGAUGAAGGCCUUAGGGUUGUAAAGCUCUUUUACGCGGGNAUGAUAAUGACAGUACCGGGAGAAUAAGCCCCGGCUAACUCCGUG